rnacentral:rRNA from 1 species
AUACGGAGGGUGCAAGCGUUACUCGGAAUCACUGGGCGUAAAGCGCGCGCAGGCGGGCUGAUAAGUUGGAUGUGAAAGCCUACGGCUCAACCGUAGAACUGCAUCCAAAACUGUCAGUCUAGAAUCUGGGAGGGGAAGAUGGAAUUAGUUGUGUAGGGGUAAAAUCCGUAGAGAUAACUAGGAAUACCAAAAGCGAAGGCGAUCUUCUGGAACAGUACUGACGCUGAGGCGCGAAAGCGUGGGGAGCAAACAGGAUUAGAAACCCUAGUAGUCC